GUGCCUGGCCGCCUGUCCAGCUCCUGUUCACCAAGCGCCCUUGAAACAGGGCCAGCCGAAUCGGAUUCCUCUCUCCUCCCAGGCCCAGCACAAUCAGUUUGUACCUUUCCCACGCACAGUGUGUGCCCUGUCUCCUAUUCUAGCUGUCUGUUUACUAGUCUUGUCCUAGCCAGAUUAGAAGGUCCUUGAGGCAGAAACAAAGUCUGCUGCUUCUUUGAGGCCUCUUCCCUGCCCCUCCAAUUCAUCUCACCCAGGCCGCGCCUGGCACCCGAGCUGAUGUUCAAUAAAUAUUGGGUGUAUUGAAAUGAUUUCCUGCCCUCUGGUAGUUGUCAGGCCAGUUGCAGAGACAAACACAGGGUGUGUGGGGUUAAAUAAUAACCGAAGCCAGCAGGUGGGGAGUAUCAAAUGUGGGUGACAAGGGCCGAGGAUUUAGCUCAGUGGUUCUGGCGCCUGCCUUGAAAGCACAAGGUCCCGAGUUUGAUCCCCGGUACCAAACAAACAAAAUAAUAAGUAUGCAAGUUCCCUGACUAUUGGCAUGGAAAAAUAAUUUUGGGGCCAGGGAUUUAGCUCAGUGGUUUCGCCGCCUGCUGCACAAGUACAAGAACCCGAGUUUGAUCCCCAGCACCACCCCCCCAAACUGUGGGUGACAGCUAUGGGGACUCAGAGGGAAGGAGGUGGUGAUUGGGGAGCAAGUUCCCAGGAGGUUCUAGGUCUUGAGCUGACUGUGUAGGAGGAUGGGGAGGGGCCGGGUGGAGGUGACUCAUGGGGGUUGACAUCACCACAAAACAGCCUUCCUGCUGGGUACUUUACAUGCAUUAUCUCUGAUAUUUGGGGCGGGAGGUUUGAGAGGGGGGCAGGGGACAGUGGCCAAGCCUGGCCCACCCAGAGGCAACCAGAGCACAGGGGACAGCCUUGAAUGUCCCUGGGCACUGGCACUGCCUGUUCCCUGGCCCGCCACUCCUACCUGCCACACCCAAGAGGGCCCAGCUCUGCCCAGUUCUGGAUGCACUGCGGUCCCACCCUGGCUAACAACUGGCCCGUGUGACCUCGGGCAAGGCACUUCCUCGUCCUCACCGGUACAGGCUGUGACUCUGGGCAUCAGUGUGAGGCUUGGCACCUCCCCGGAUAGUACCUGGGCUGGUGCAACUGCCUGCCCUCUCCACACACCCUCUGUGUCCUCCCAGCCUAGAGCCCCCGAGAGGAACACUGGGUACAGAGUGUGAACAGGGAUGGCUUCCUGUGGUUGCAGAGGGAGCAGCGGGACUUUCCCUGCAGUGCCUGGGCUGGGGGAGAAGAGGGCCAACCUCCAAGGAACCUCUGCUCUCUUCCCUCCCUCCUCGGUGCUCCCAGCCCUCUAAAAGGCUGGUACAGUUUGUUACGCUGGGGCCGGAAUGUACCGUGUUUCAUAUGGCCUCUGUCCAGUCCUACACUGGCCGCUUUAUAUUUAUACUUCCUGCUCCAGCUGUGGCAUCCUGCUGUCAGUCACCCCUGCUCUCAUCUGCCCACCUCCUGAACGCCCCCAGCAGAUUAUGAAGUGAGUCUCUGUCCCCACAGUCCCUGUGGGAGGAAGGGGGUGCAGAGAGAGCCCCAGAGGGGAGAAGGUGGAUUCCAGAAAGAGAAGGCCCCAGUUCCCUUUCUUUCUCCCAUCACAGGAGUCUGCAGCCUGGGACUGAAGUUUCUCUGGACCUAGGAGGUUGGUCCUUGUCUCCUUGCUACCUUGUUUGCCCAGCACUUGAGCAAUACUCCUGAGCCCAGCGAGACCAGCGAAGGCUCCUCCUUGGAAGCCACCUCCAGGAGCUGGGCAGAGCAGAGGCCAGCUGCAGGAUGUUCCUGCUCCCAAGCUGCCAGGGACCAAGACAAGCAGGGAGAAGAGAACACGCAGGGACUUGGAGGGAAAUUCCUCCGGCCGUUGGGCCACACCCGCCCUAGAGGACCUCCCGAGCUCUUCUGGCAGAGCGGAAGCCAGACCCAGACAGGGACGCUGAAGUGACAAUCCCCAGCCCUGUGUGGGCCAGGAGCCCCUGAGGGGGAGGGGCCACGGUGCUCUCCCCACCCCAGAGCCAGGCGUGGGUUGCAACAGAGGCUUCUCCAGGGAGGCUUGAGAGGAAGUUCAGCCCAAGCGGGAGCCAAGCCUGGGCCCAGCAGGGAGAGCUGCGGUGGGUACAGGACUGAGGAGGACACCACUGUGCGAAGACUGGCCUCCUCUCACCUGCCCCGUCCUGCACCCCCGGCCCGGAACUUUGUGCCUUCGCCCGCUGCACUCCUACCAGCACGGAAUUCCGAGCCACACCGAGCUCCUCUCAGCCGGCCCCACCUGCGAGUCACGUUCCUGCCUCGCCACGCGGUUAUCCCCUGGGCCUUUGUACCUGCUUUCCUGGCGCCGGGAAUGCCCUUCCCCCAUUGACCCAGCAAGGACCUUGUCACUUUCCAGGUGAGAGGCUUUUCUUGGUCUCGAUGUGCGCACAUUUUAUAGUAGUGCUUACAGUAAUGACUAAAAGCCAACAUUCUGCAGGCACACCACAUGCUGUUCCGACUGCUCUGUGUGUGUGUGUGUGUGUGUGUGUGUGUGCGCGCGCGCGUGUGCACCCAUUACAUUUUUGUCAGCUUAUUUAACUGUCAUAACAACCCUAAUGGGCACUAUUGUUAUCAUCUCCAUCUGACAGAGAGGAAAAUUGAUACACCGAGAGUGGGGUUACCAUUGACAUAGGGGGACAGGUCAAGUAAGCCGGGUUUCCGCACAACCAGCUCAGUGGAAAGGUCUGGGUAGCUAACCACUGCACUGCACGGCCUCUAGCUGUUAGGAGCUUUUACCAAUUUACAUACCUCUGAGAAAGCAGCAUCAGAUAAUGUCUGGUAACUGAGUGAAUUCAUAAAAUGUAAUAGAAUAAAGAAGUAGGGCUUAUCUUCGCUUGUGUAAGAUAUCUGCUAUGUCAACACUAUGUUUUUUUCCUAGAACAUAUAAUAUGUUAAAGAAAAUAAAAUUUGAGAUUAAAAUCCUA